AAAUAGGACCUAAACAUCCUAGAAGGCACCAGGUCCCAUAUCAUCUCAGAAGCUAAGCAAGGCCAGUGCUGGUUAGUUCUUGGAUGGGAGAACCUCCACCGAAUCUCUGAUGCUGUAGGCC
rnacentral:rRNA from 11 species